UUCCGCUGACGCUUCGACAGCAC
rnacentral:snRNA from 1 species